UUUGUACUCGCAGAGCAAAUUUGCAAAUGCGUAUCAGUAAAUUUGUACUCGCAGAGCAAAUUUGCAAAUGUGUAGGUAUUUUUUGUCUCCAACAAACACAACGCAACAUUUACACCUGCACAAAUUCUUCAGUACAGGUGCACAAAUCCCAUCGGACGAAUCACAAAUGCAGAAACUCAUCCGCUCAUGUUCUUUGCUACUAUUGUUGCAGUGAAUAUGGUGCAAAACACAUUCACACACCUGCAUCCAGAAAUGUGAAGUCACAGACAAAACUUGCACAUCUGUAGAUUAGAAUGUGUAUCCGCACAAAGAGAGCUGAACGUGUGUAGAAUGUUUGAUUAUUUUUUUCUAAGCACGAACACAAAUAUGUUCCUGCAACUGCUCAAAUCUGCCGCUACGAGUCUCAAGCGCUGUUUUUCACUUGCAAAUCUACAUUUCGCUCUCUCGCUCUUCUGCACCAAAAAUCACUGUGACAUUUGGUGCAAAAGUUACUUGUGUAUCUGCCAACCAAAACGUGGGCUCUCAGAGAAAUUCAGCCAAUAGGGGAUGGGGCGUGACGUCACCGCUCUAGCGCUGCGGAGGCUGAACGUCGAAACCGAAACCCCCUUUGCGAGAUUCGCUGCAUCUAUACCUGAUUUGCGUUCAAAAAUGCCUGCUUAAUUAUUUCAUAGUAGGAGCAAACAUGCCUUAAGAAAAGGAGUAGGUUUGAAACUUUAGUAACCAUAAAAAGUACGCCAGGUGGAUGCCUUUCUACUCCAGGAAGCCGCAGCCUACGGCCUGAAGGAGGAAGAGGACGCGGUCAGUUUGAAAUAGCUGUUGUGAUAGAGCUGGACCUGUAGACAAGGGAACUAACACAUUUGAGGAAAAAAGAAUCCAAAAUAAGAGAUUGGUGUGUGUGGUGAGGGUAAAGAAGUCCACAUGCAGCAGCAUCUUGGAAAUGCUGUAAUGCAGGGGUGCCCAAACUCAGUUCUGGACAGCUGGUGUCCUGCAGAGUUUAGAGUCAACUUCAACUAAACUCUGCAAGACAGCAGCAGUUCUAGACUGAGUUUAGCCACUCCUGUUCUCCUGUAGUGAACUGAACGAGACCCUGCAUCAGUCCACAUGCCCUUGUGUCCUCAUCUGGACCAG